CCUACGAGAGGCAGCAGUGAGGAAUAUUGGUCAAUGGUCGGGAGACUGAACCAGCCAAGCCGCGUGAGGGAUGAAGGUACAGAGUAUCGUAAACCUCUUUUGUCAGGGAACAAAGGCGGGGACGUGUCCCCGGAUGAGUGUACCUGAAGAGAAAGCAUCGGCUAACUCCGUGCCAGCAGCCGCGGUAAUACGGAGGAUCCGAGCGUUAUCCGGAUUUAUUGGGUUUAAAGGGAGCGUAGGCGGGUUGUUAAGUCAGUUGUGAAAGUUUGCGGUUCAACCGUAAAAUUGCAGUUGAUACUGGCAGCCUUGAGUACAGUAGAGGUAGGCGGAAUUCGUGGUGUAGCGGUGAAAUGCUUAGAUAUCACGAAGAACUCCGAUUGCGAAGGCAGCCUGCUGGACUGUAACUGACGCUGAUGCUCGAAAGUGUGGGUAUCAAACAGGAUUAGAUACCCGUGUAGUC
rnacentral:rRNA from 1 species